rnacentral:rRNA from 1 species
GGUAUUUUGACCGUGCAAAGGUAGCAUAAUCAUUAGUUUUUUAAUUGAAAGCUGGAAUGAAAGGUUGGAUGAGAAAUAAGCUGUCUCUAUUUAAUUUUAUUAGAAUUUUAUUUUUAAGUAAAAAAGCUUAAAUUUUAAUAGAAGACGAGAAGACCCUAUAGAGUUUUAUUUAUUUUUUAAAUAAAAUUAAUAGUAUUAAUUAUUUUUAUUUGAUAGAUAAAUUUGGUUGGGGUGAUUGAAAAAUUUAGUAAACUUUUUUUAUAUGCAUACAUUGAUAUAUGAUUAAUUGAUCCUUAAUUUAAGAUUAAAAGAUAAAAUUACCUUAGGGAUAACAGCGUAAUUUUUUUUGAGAGUUCUAAUCGAAAGAAAAGAUUGCGACCUCGAUGUUGGAUUAAAAUAAAAUUUUGGUGUAGAAGCUAAGA